rnacentral:tRNA from 1 species
GGCUCUGUGGUGAAGUUCAUAGUGAGUUGCAAGCUCAUUGAUGUACAUUGACCAUGUACCGGAGUCU